rnacentral:rRNA from 1 species
GGAUGAAGAAGGCCUUCGGGUUGUAAAGUCCUUUCGUGGAGGACGAAAAGGCAGGUUCCAAUACAAUCUGCCAUUGACGUGAAUCCAAGAAGAAGCACCGGCUAACUCCGUGCCAGCAGCCGCGGUAAUACGGGGGGUGCAAGCGUUAAUCGGAAUCACUGGGCGUAAAGGGUGCGUAGGCGGUGCAUUAGGUCUGUCGUGAAAUCCCCGGGCUCAACCUGGGAAUGGCGGUGGAAACCGGUGUACUAGAGUAUGGGAGAGGGUGGUGGAAUUCCAGGUGUAGCGGUGAAAUGCGUAGAGAUCUGGAGGAACAUCAGUGGCGAAGGCGGCCACCUGGUCCAAUACUGACGCUGAGGCACGAAAGCGUGGGGAGCAAACAGGAUUAGAUACC